rnacentral:rRNA from 1 species
GACGAACGCUGGCGGCGUGCUUAACACAUGCAAGUCGAACGGAAAGGCCCUGCUUGUGUGGGGUGCUCGAGGGGCAAGCGUGUGUAAAACGCGUGUAUAACCUGCCCUUGACUUUGGUAUGCCUUCGGAAAACGGGGUAAUAUCCCAUAUGAGAACUCCUGCUACGUGGUGGUGGUUGGAAAGGUUCGGUGGUUGGGGAUGGUCUCGCGGCUUAUCAGCUUGUUGGUGGGGUAGUGGCUUACCAAGGCGUUGACGGGUAGCCGGCCUGAGAGGGUGACCGGCCACAUUGGGACUGAGAUACGGCCCAGACUCCUACGGGAGGCAGCAGUGGGGAAUAUUGCACAAUGGGCGGAAGCCUGAUGCAGCAACGCCGCGUGAGGGAUGACGGCCUUCGGGUUGUAAACCGCUUUUGGCUGUGAAGAAGAGAGAGUGACGGUAACGGGUAAGGAAGCACCGGCUAACUACGUG